UACGGAGGGUGCAAGCGUUAUCCGGAUUCAUUGGGUUUAAAGGGUGCGUAGGCGGUCUAAUAAGUCAGUGGUGAAAGCCUUCCGCUUAACGGGAGAACUGCCAUUGAUACUGUUAGACUUGAAUCUAGUUGAAGUGGGUGGAAUACAUCAUGUAGCGGUGAAAUGCAUAGAUAUGAUGUAGAACGCCGAUUGCGAAGGCAGCUAACUGGGCCUUGAUUGACGCUGAGGCACGAAAGCGUGGGGAGCGAACAGGAUUAGAUACCCGGUAGUCC
rnacentral:rRNA from 1 species